rnacentral:rRNA from 1 species
AGUCGAACGCGAAAGUCCCCUUCGGGGGACGAGUAGAGUGGCGUCCGGGUGAGUAACACGUAGGUAAUCUACCUUCGGGUGGGGAAUAACGCAGGGAAACUUGCGCUAAUACCGCAUAAUGCAGCGGCACCACAUGGUGACAGUUGUUAAAGCGGGGGAUUUUCGAACCUCGCGCCUGAAGAGGAGCCUGCGGCAGAUUAGCCAGUUGGUAGGGUAACGGCUUACCAAGGCGACGAUCUGUAGCCGGCCUGAGAGGGCGGUCGGCCACACUGACACUGACAUACGGGUCAGACUCCUACGGGAGGCAGCAGUCGGGAAUUUUGGGCAAUGGGCGAAAGCCUGACCCAGCAACGCCGCGUGAAGGAUGAAAUCCUUCGGGAUGUAAACUUCGCAAGAAUAGGAAGAAUGAGCGAGCGCUAACACCGUUCGUGAUGACGGUACUAUUUGUAAGCUCCGGCUAACUCCGUGCCAGCAGCCGCGGUAAUACGGGGGGAGCAAGCGUUGUUCGGAUUUACUGGGCGUAAAGGGCGCGUAGGCGGUCAGCACAAGUCAGUUGUGAAAUCUCCGGGCUUAACUCGGAAAGGUCAACUGAUACUGUGCGACUAGAGUGCAGAAGGGGCAACUGGAAUUCUCGGUGUAGCGGUGAAAUGCGUAGAUAUCGAGAGGAACACCUGCGGCGAAGGCGGGUUGCUGGGCUGACACUGACGCUGAUGCGCGAAAGCCAGGGGAGCGAACGGGAUUAGAUACCCCGGUAGUCCUGGCCUUAAACGAUGGAUGCUUGGUGUCUGGAGUUUUAUAGUCUCCGGGUGCCGUAGCUAACGCGUUAAG